rnacentral:snRNA from 1 species
GAUGUGAGGGCGAUCUGGCUGUGACAUCUGUUACUCCACUGAUUGCCAGGGUUGAUUCGGCUGAUCUGGCUGGCUAGGCGGGUAUCCCCUUCCUCCUUUUACUAUC